rnacentral:rRNA from 1 species
GCAAUGGACGAAAGUCUGACGGAGCAACGCCGCGUGAGUGAUGACGGCCUUCGGGUUGUAAAGCUCUGUUAAUCGGGACGAAAGGCCUUCUUGCGAAUAGUUAGAAGGAUUGACGGUACCGGAAUAGAAAGCCACGGCUAACUACGUGCCAGCAGCCGCGGUAAUACGUAGGUGGCAAGCGUUGUCCGGAAUUAUUGGGCGUAAAGCGCGCGCAGGCGGAUUGGUCAGUCUGUCUUAAAAGUUCGGGGCUUAACCCCGUGAUGGGAUGGAAACNWGCCAAUNYUAGAGUAUCGGAGAGGAAAGUGGAAUUCCUAGUGUAGCGGUGAAAUGCGUAGAUAUUAGAGAANAACACCAGUGGCGAAGGCGACUUUCUGGACGAAAACUGACGCUGAGGCGCGAAAGCCAGGGGAGCGAACGGGAUUAGAUACCCCGGUAGUCCUGGCCGUAAACGAUGGGUACUAGGUGUAGGAGGUAUCGACCCCUUCUGUGCCGGAGUUAACGCAAUAAGUACCCCGCCUGGGGAGUACGACCGCNAGUUGAAACUCAAAAGGAAUUUGACGGGGGGCCCGCACAAGCCGGUGG